AUUAAAGCCCAACCUUAUGCCCUCCUUUAACCUUAAUUACCUCCUAAGAGUCCUGUCUCCAAACUCAGUCACGCUGGAGGUUAGGUCUUUGACUCUGGGGAGGCACAAUUCGUUCCUAGCACCUCCCCUUGCAGGAGGACUUCCCUGCUCAGAGCUGGGUCCAAGCCAGUUCUCUGUGAUGGUAGCCAAGUACCUGCGAGCAUCUAGCUCCGUGAGUAUUUGCUGGGAUUCGGGACGGCCCAUAUGGCUUUUCACAGUCUGCCAGGGCGUGACUGAAUUCCUUAGAUCGAAUUGAAGUAGAGAGCUUAAUAGGAUUUUGUUUUUUUUUUUGCUGGUUCUUUCCCUCAUAAGACCAAAUACUGAAUGGAAUUAAUCAGUCACAUGACAGGAAUGGGGAACGCUGGGUUUGGUGUUUUGUUUUGUUUUGCGUUUUUUGUCUUUUCAUUCAGUUUCGUAUAAUUCUGUGAAAGCUUUUUCUGCAAAGGCCGAGCACAAACACUGGACUCACCUGCUUCCAGGAGUAAGAAGAGUGAACGCGAUACAGAAUCCUGCGAAACAUGGCUCCUCCCAGAAACCCUUCCCAAUCGGGCGCAGGAACGAGAAAGACAAAAGAAAUAAAGAAAAAAGGAACAGUAACAAGGACAACAAAGCACACGGCAAGUCUGGAGGAAGAGGGAGGCGGUGCGUGGUGCGGGCAGGGGCCGGGGGUGCGGGGAGCCGGAGGCCGCCACGGAGGAAGGGCAGACACAGUGUUCAAGAAGAGAACCAAUAAUCCGGAAGGACAGGGAAUGGCUCCGGAGCCCUUGACGUUGGUAUUUCUUAAAAUAAAUAGCUCUUCUCUCUCUCUCUCUCUCUCUCUCUCUCUCUCUCUCUGAGCUUGAGAUUGAUUUGGGCUGUGAGCAUGAAAGAUUAAAUCAUCAUCUUUCCUAAUUGUAAGUUUCGUGAAAUAUUGUCCACUCUUAGCUCUUCCUUAGCCUUAAAUCAUGGGGUAGUAUGUUGUCAGUGGAGAAGCUACAAGCCCCAAGUGAAUAAAGUUAGUGCUGGCAUUUCAGAAUGAUGCCAAUACCACUGUGGCAUGAAGCCGUAUCAAGGACCCAGAUGUCUUUAUCCCACGAGGUGCUCUUUUUGAUUUGUAGGGCAGACAUCAGGGGUUGCCUUCCCAGUACCUAUUCUCCUUUCUUCGCUAAUGGAACCAUGGUUUGGCUUGAAUGGCAAUGUGCCUCACCCUGGGGAACCAAUAAGCACAGGCGGCACCCAUUUUUGGAAAUCCCACUCCCCCUUGAUAAUGACCAAACUAGGGACUUGUGGUGAGGAAUAAGGGGAAGUGGGCUUAUGUGUUUAUGGGCAAGAUUUUCUUGACUGAUAAAGAAGAGAUUGCCUUCCCAUUUUGGAUGCUGGUGUGUGAGAAGGAGCUGCAGCAGCCAGAUUGUGAGCAGAGGUAGCAGGCUAAGAGAACCACACAGAGUACGAUCUUCUUGUCUUGGUGGCGUUGAACUAGAGAACAGACUCUGAAACUCCCUACCUCAAGGCUUCUUCAUGGGAGACAAUGUUUCGUUGCUUGAACCCCACUGGCCUUACAACUAAGCACACUUCACUGAGAACAGGAAGCAUACACAAAGUUAAAGGAUAUUAGUGAGAUCUGGUUCAAGAAUGAGGUACAACCCCCCAAAUAACAGUGGUUCAAAAUGAGGUAGAUAUUUCUUUCUCUCUCACUUUAGACGCUGGCAAUAAUCAGUCCAGUUGGCAGAGUAUCCCAUGUCCUCAGAAACUCAGAAGUCCAUCAUUCCGGCUUGAUGAACGGUAAUCCGCAAUCUUAUUUUCAAAAGUCACCUUAGGGUCUAGGUUGGUUCCUCCAGUUCCAGCCACCAUAACCAUUUUUCAACUAGCAGGAAGGAAAAAAGAGGGAAGAAUGGGCACACACAUGGAGCUUAUGACCGAAUCCUCAAGAAAUAAAGGAUCUCAGUCUAGGUGCCCAAUGGGUCUGGAGUAAGACAGGAAGAAAGGCCAAGGCUUUGGUGGACAACAGCACAAUCCUGAAGCUUUGCCCUGAGGUCUCCCUAAAGCCCCCUGAACGCUCAACCAAGAGAACCCCAGGGGUGGACCUUUCUUCUUCAGAAUGGAAGUGCGUCUGUCUACUCUUCAAACGCUCUUCUCAUACAGGAAAUUCUACUCGUUAAAGACUUGUCCAUGAGGAUUCUUAAAGUGGAAAUGUUUUUGGACAAAUGGUGGUAUCAUCUAUUCAGAUAAGAAUGAAUGCAAUUUAAUUGAUUGUCUUUGAACUUUUAACCGACAUGAGCCACGUUUAGGAAAUGGGGACUUUGAUGUUAGGACGAGCAAGUGGAGGGCAGAGAUGAGGCAUGGUGGGGGGAGAGAAGAAGGUGUGUAGGAGAAGGGAGGUCUGUGUGGGUGUUUUGGCGUACUUGGCAUGGGGAGGGAUGCCUAACAAGCUUCCAGACUGCACUAGGGUUCGGUGGUUGCUGUAACACGUGACCGCAAACUUGGUGACUUCAAACAGUAGACAUGAAUUUGUUCACAGCUCUGGAAGCCAGAAGUCCAAGAUCAGGGUGUCAUCAGGGCCAUGUUCCUCCUUGAGGCUCUAGGGAAGAAUCCUUCCUGGCUCCUUCUAGCUUCUGGGGGCCCCUGGCCUGUGGCUACGCCGUUCCCAUGUCCACCUCCCUGUUCACAUGGCCUCCUUCCCUGUGGGUGUCUCUGUGUCCUCUCUUCUGGUGAGACUCGGCCUCUCCUUGCAGAAAAUCUGGCCCGAGGGGGCAGAAGGUGCCUCUGCAGAUGCCACCCUACGGUGUGGAGCUCUCUCCGAUCCCUCCGACCUGCUGUCCAGCUGGAGACAGCCUGCCCCUUCUCCCCUGCCUGUUGGCUCCUCCCUACAGAGGGACCCGAUUCUACCGGAGACAGCAUCACAGGGAUGGGGUUUACAGGGUCUCACAUGCAAUAGACUGGUGUUUGAGAGUUUUGUCCAGAAAAGAAACGACUAGUGGCCUUCACUCCUGCCAAUGGCAGUCUCCACUUGCCUAAGUGCUUUUGUUAGUUAUUAACAACGACUCGAACCUGAUUAGAUCCCUGCAACCUCUCUACUGAGCACUAUUUAAAAACGCCAUCUCUACAGACAAGGGCUCUGUCUCCCAGCUUCCUUGACACAGCGUCUUUUUAGGCAGUGUGCAAGCCCAAGGGUGAAGUGUUGGAUUCUUAUUAGCAUUUUCCAACAGCCAAGCGGGUGUUCCUAUGCAGAUGGGCCGAAUGCUUUCCUUUUAUGUAAAUGUCUGAUGCACUACAGAGCUGUCCUCUGAUUCCUUGCAUCCUGCUCAGAUCUCACCGGGCCCUUUUAAGGUAGCAACCAUUUGGCAGCUCUAAUCAAAGAAGCUGGCCUCUUUCUAUCAAGAAGUUAAAAUUCUGACAUAGCCCUAAAAUUUCUCGAGACAAAAAGUUCAUCUAUUUUCAGUUUGAUGGUACGUUAGUCGUGUGUUGUUUUUCUUUUUUUUUUUUUUUUUUCCCUUGCCUAUGAUAAAAGAUCUAUUCAAACUAGCUGAAAGCACAAAAAGGGAUUUAAUAGGAUCCUGGGGUUUCUUACAUAAUCAGAGGAAACCAAUAGCCAGACGGGGAACGGGAUAAGGACGGGGUUCGACUCCAGGAAGGAGCAGGAGAGCCUUGAGCCACCACAAGGAUUUGUGCUGGGUCUCUGCUUCUGUCUCCUGGUCGACCUCAUAAUCCCCACACGCGGGCCCACAUCUGGCAUCCUGCUGAGGUCCCAGCCGGAGCAGGACUGACUCACCCUCGUGGUCUCACAGUAAAAUAAAAUGCCAAGGCAGGGCUGGGACUGGAUCAGCCUGGGCAAGACCAUCACUCCCGGAUCCAAGGGCCACAGGUGCCUGGAAAGCCCCUUCCUUUGGACAGUUCACGCACCCAGACUGAGGUCGUCGAAGCUAAGUCACCUCUUCUUUUAGGUAAUGCAAUUCACGAUGGCCUUGCUGUGCACGUGUCUCUUGUUACAGAAAUGAUGCUUGGAAUCCUAUGUUGUUGAUUUCCUUUGACGGAACCUUUCUGGAACAGCACAAGGUCAUUUCCGGUUGGCUGGCCUGACACGGGAAGACACGGCCUCGCACACCACCUGAUACGGAGUGUCCUCGGUCCUAUGUGUCCCUAAGUGUCCAGACACCCCAUCGGUGGUUCCUCCACCCAUACUUUCCUGUGCGCUCAUUCCAAGGACCCCUUGUUCUUUGGAGAACGUGUCUUAGAAAGAGGCAGCAGUGUUUGUGUCAAAGCACCAGCGGCAGACUGAGGGACACUUUUUGAAACAAGGGUGUUGGCUAAUCCUCUCCCACGGCUGGCCCGGUCCCUGGAGGGUGGCAGAACAGAGAGUCAAGUGUCGAUCAGAAAUAGCACCCUGUAAGCCCUCAGGCACCAAGAUCCUCAUCCAAGAAACUGCUCUGAGUGUCAAGUGCGUCACGUCUGCCAAGGCAGGACCGAGGACAGCCAGACCCGCGGCCACAGCCAGCGGAAGGCUGAUAUAUUACCGUUGUCUUCUGGGCUCGGUAAUAUCCGGUUUUCCAGGGGUAACACUUCUCCCGGUGCUAGAAGGGAGCGAAACAUGUUUUUGGCCUUCUCUGGCUCUGGGUAUGGAGCUUAGUUUUGCAGCAGAAGAGCCCAGACUCAUUCCGAUGGUCCAUCUCUGUCAACACAAAUGUCGGAAAGAGAAGACCGUGAGGCAGCACCUGUGGAAAAAUGAGGACGAACGUGGGAUACCGUUUGGCAUUUGGGCCUCCUGGGCACUCCGGAAUCCCGCCCUUUCCAGAAGAGCUGACAGGAAUGGCUGCCCCUGGAAACUCUGAUAACUUCCCGAGUUGUUGCACAACCGCUGAGUGGAGCUCCCGCCGGGCCUGUCUUCUGCUGGAUACCGUGUCUUAUUCUAGCUGCGGACUCAACCGCCGGCCCACGGCCAAGGACAGUCCUAUUUCUAUUUCGGGAACGCUUGCCAUUUAAUUCUGUCUCAGAUAACAUUCCGAUGCUUUACCCCGUAAAAAUAAAUCCAAUUCUUUGAAGUCUGGUGUGUGUUUGGGUCUUCAUAUAGAGACAAUGGGGACCAUACGUCA